GCCCCGAUGGCGAAAUUGGUAGACGCAAGGGACUUAAAAUCCCUCGUUCUAGGACGUGCCGGUUCGACCCCGGCUCGGGGCACCA
rnacentral:tRNA from 2 species